UACGUAGGGGGCAAGCGUUGUCCGGAUUUAUUGGGCGUAAAGAGCGUGUAGGCGGCUUGGUAGGUCCGCUGUGAAAACUCGAGGCUCAACCUCGAGAUGUCGGCGGAAACCACUUGGCUAGAGUCCGGAAGAGGAGAGUGGAAUUCCUGGUGUAGCGGUGAAAUGCGCAGAUAUCAGGAAGAACACCUAUGGCGAAGGCAGCUCUCUGGGACGGUACUGACGCUGAGGCGCGACAGCGUGGGGAGCAAACAGG
rnacentral:rRNA from 1 species